GCAGCCUGAUGAGCACGCCGCGUGGGGGAUGAAGGCCUUCGGGUUGUAAACCCCUUUUAGCAGGGAAGAAGCGAAAGUGACGGUACCUGCAGAAAAAGCGCCGGCUAACUACGUGCCAGCAGCCGCGGUAAUACGUAGGGCGCAAGCGUUGUCCGGAAUUAUUGGGCGUAAAGAGCUCGUAGGCGGUUUGUCGCGUCUGCUGUGAAAGUCCGAGGCUCAACCUCGGAUCUGCAGUGGGUACGGGCAGACUAGAGUGUGGUAGGGGAGACUGGAAUUCCUGGUGUAGCGGUGGAAUGCGCAGAUAUCAGGAGGAACACCAAUGGCGAAGGCAGGUCUCUGGGCCAUAACUGACGCUGAGGAGCGAAAGCGUGGGGAGCGAACAGGAUUAGAUACCCUGGUAGUCCACGCCGUAAACGGUGGGCACUAGAUGUGGGGCUCUUUCCAUGAGUUCCGCGUCGCAGCUAACGCAUUAAGUGCCCCGCCUGGGGAGUACGGCCGCAAGGCUAAAACUCAAG
rnacentral:rRNA from 1 species